UCGAGAAUCUUCCGCAAUGGGCGAAAGCCUGACGGAGCGACGCCGCGUGUAGGAUGAAGGCCUUCGGGUUGUAAACUACUGUCACGGGUUAUGAAUGUAUUGAUGUUAACAGCGUCAGUAUUGACGUAAGCCUGGAAGGAAGCACCGGCUAACUCUGUGCCAGCAGCCGCGGUAAUACAGAGGGUGCGAACGUUGUUCGGAAUUACUGGGCAUAAAGCGUGCGUAGGCGGCGGCGUAAGUGUAGGGUGAAAUCCCACGGCCCACCCGUGUGAACAGCCCCGCAUACUGCGUUGCUUGAGUGUGGUAGGGGAGAGCGGAACUCCUGGUGGAGCGGUGAAAUGCGUAGAUAUCAGGAGGAACACCGGUGGCGCAGGCGGCUCUCUGGUCCACAACUGACGCUGAAGUACGAAAGCUAGGGUAGCGAACGGGAUUAGAUACCCCGGUAGUCCUAGCCGUAAACGAUGGGCACUAACUUGAGGUCUCCCUGUGGGAUCUCAGGUGAAGCAAAUGUGAUAAGUGCCCCGCCUGGGGAGUAUGGUCGCAAGGCUAA
rnacentral:rRNA from 1 species